GUUAGCUCAGUUGGUAGAGCGCUCCACCUGUAAUGGAGAGGUCCCGGGUUCGAUACCCGGACCUCUCCA
rnacentral:tRNA from 1 species